AUUGAACGCUGGCGGCAUGCUUUACACAUGCAAGUCGAACGGUAACAGGGAGCUUGCUCCGCUGACGAGUGGCGAACGGGUGAGUAAUGCGUCGGAACGUGCCGAGUAGUGGGGGAUAACGCAUCGAAAGGUGUGCUAAUACCGCAUACGUACUGAGGUAGAAAGUGGGGGACCUUCGGGCCUCACGCUAUUCGAGCGGCCGACGUCGGAUUAGCUAGUUGGUGAGGUAAAGGCUCACCAAGGCGACGAGCAGUAGCGGGUCUGAGAGGAUGGACGGGCAAACUGGGAGCGGGGCACGGCCCAGCCUCCUAGGGGAGGCAGCAGGGGGGAAUUUUGGACAAUGGGCGCAAGCCUGGGCCAGGCAUGCAGCGUGUCGGAAGAAGGCCUUCGGGUUGUAAAGGACUUUUGUCCGGGAGCAAAUGCCUGGUGUUAAUAGCACUGGGAGCUGAGAGUACCGGAAGAAUAAGCACCGGCUAACUACGUGCCAGCCGCCGCAGUAAAAC
rnacentral:rRNA from 1 species